rnacentral:lncRNA from 1 species
UCAGUGUCAGAGUUGCGAGUACGAGCCAUUUCUGCGAGUUUUGGAGAAAAGAAUACAUUAGAUAAUUUCUUAGAGGUAGGCUCUAGUGCACGAUCUAAAGUAUGAGAAAAAAAUGAGAUUUUUCCUAAAUGCUUGUAGCCUCCUGUUUAUAAGUAUGGCGCGCUUCAUACCCAUAAACACAACUCUACUAGCAUGGCUUCAAAGACCUCUAGGACUCCAUAACACUGAGGCUCUGAUACCAAGUUUGUCACGACCUAUUUUCUGAACAAGCGGAGAUCGGCACUCAAUCACUAAACAUGACCGAGCGAACCAUCUCUGCUUAUCAAACCUAUUUUAAAUCCAAACAUUAUAUGUAACCAAGCAACACUCUAACCAAAUACUUUUGAUUAAUUCAAAGAUUUAAAUAAAUCAACUCCAAAGAUUUAUUCGUAGUAACUACUGAAUUACUGCUAAGUUAUCAAAAAUAGCAUCUGAAUCUCAACCCAUAGACUCUGUCUAUGAAGCAUCUAUUGAAAAACUGACGCACUGCUCAGGACUGAGAUUUCCUGGCCAGUUCUCUAAAUAAACAAAGAAAUAGCUAAAUAAAAAUGAAUCUAAGAAUAUUCCACAAACAAAAGCGGAGCUCACCAAUAUCACUGGAAGGGAAGAAAAUCCUAACUCGUAGCCUGCUCGCUUGCAAAUCUGGUUCCUACGUUGUACCGCAAACUAACGUAGGUUCCUAAAAGAGAACGUCCGUACCAUCCAUUGUACUCAGUGAGUCUCAACAAUAUGAGGAGAAACUUUAAUAACAUAUACAUUACGAGCAAAGGUUCUAAAUGCAUGUAAAACAUAAAGCUUAUAAGAAUAAUUCUAAAAUAAUUGCAUGUAGCAAUUACGAGCAAAGGUUCUAAAUGCAUGUAAAACAUAAAGCUUAUAAGAAAAAUUCGAAAAUAAUUGCAUGUAGCAAUUUAUCAAUAUUCUAAAAGAAAUUCUUUUCUUAUUCUAUCUCUAAAAAAAUACUUCACUUUAUAUUUUGGGAGUGUCAACUAUCCUGACUUAAUUCUGUAUCGGUCACCGUGUGAUCGGCACGGGUUCGAUCCCAACCUGAUCAAAUAGUCUCAAUUCACGAGGUGUCACUCGCUUCAUGGUUGUCAGCGCUCAUGCAUCAUACCUUAGCAUGGCUAAGUAAAUUCUCAGCAACGAGACACUCGGCUCGUGUGCUCCCUACUUUGACACAAGUAGUUUCAGGAAGUCAACGCCUUGGUCAAGACCCUCGACCGGGACGAUGACCCCAUCUCAGAAUAAUGGAUACUCCCCAAACAUCUUUUCUUUCUAAAACUUCUUCAAGGAAGUCAACGCCUUAGUUAGGACCCUCGGCCAGGACGAUGACCCCUUCUCAGAAAAUAGGAUACUCCCCAAAAGUCUUUUCUUUUUAAAACUUUUUCUUGUGACUUUUCAAGUCUAUAUAUUUUCUUUAUAGAACAUUAGGUACAUGCUUAUAUUGAUGUCCUUGAAUGUAAGCAUGACAUAAGAAUAAAAUAAACAUAUAAAAAUAUUUUUAAAGAUUCUUUCUUCUUCAUAAUUUUCAACAUGAAAAUAGCAUGUAAGAAUAACACAAAAAUCUGAAAAUUUAAGCACAUAUAGCAUAAAAGAUCAUCUAAACUUUUGCUAGAACAGUUUCAAAUUAAUGGGUACUCACUAGCUCUAAUUAAAUAAAGAUAAACUCUUUUAAGCAAUUAUCAAACACCUUGUAUGCGUGCUUUUGUGAGUUAAACCACUUCAGUAAAGGGUUAUAUCAACUCACCUCAAAACUUCUCAGGUCAAUACGUAUGCCCCAAUCCAGUUGACACCAGUCAAACAAUCGAUUCCUCAAAACUUCUCGAGCCAAUACGUAGACCUCAGUCCAAUUGACGCCAGUCUCGAUUCCACAACAACCGACGUAUUUUAAUCAAUUUUAAGGUAUUACACCUAAAUAUAAAAUUUAUUGAUGAUAUAGAGAAAGAAAGGAAUUAGCUAUCCAAUCUUACCUAUCACUACUGUAGGUAAUUGAUAAUAGAGAAUUUUACAUACCUGAAUUCAAGAAUAAGUGAGUUACGAAAAACCCUAAAAUUUUGGCCAUCUGCGUGAGUAAGUAGCUCGGUUUUUGUGGAUCCCUCUUUCGUAAGCAUAGAACUAGCGUUUUGUUCUGUCUUCGUCCAGGCCUUUGCGUUAUUAUAAAAGAGGGGACGGU